UCACGCUAUUCGAAAAGAUCCUUCUAAGUUCGAUGUCAGGCUCCUGAGUCCUUUUGACAUGAUCCCAGUAGUCUUUGAUAGCUUGUGUGUCUGUAUUUUAUUACUUAAAAAUGCCAAGGGAAAAAGUACCUGUCAUCAGAAAAUCUAAUACAAAAAAAUAAAAUUAUAAAAGAAUUAAGAGAAAUAUAGGGAAACAUUUUUAUAUCACCCGGUAGGAAAAGCUCUUCCGAGUAAGACACACAAAUUAGGAGCCAUAAAGAAAAGAUUGAAAAAAUUGACUACCUGGAAGCUUUAAUCUUCUCUAUGGCAAAAUUAAGACAAGUGAUGGCCUAGAAGAAAAUACUUAAAAUAUAAAUGAAAGAAAGGAUUCUUUUUAUAUACAUAAACCAAUGGCAAAUGAUAAGAAGAAGAUAAACAAGCAAAUAAUAUGAAUAGAUAAUUCCCAGAAGAAGAAAUGCAGAUGGCCAUUAAAAAGUGUUAGGGCCAAGGGAUGGCUUAGGUGGCAGAGAGAUUAGACACCUCAAAAAUGCCAUCCAUCCCCUCCCACUCUUUGAUCUGGACACUUAACAUUUUCUCAGUCUUACGUAAGCUCAGCUUUAAGACAAGGCCUCUCCUCUCUUUCCAAUCAGGUAAUCAUCCCUAAAUUUCCUUUCGAUGGGAAUGCUGGAGCUUUCAUGGCCAAUAAACAUGAAAAACAUGCUCAACCUCACAAGUAAUGAGGCAAUUGCAAAUUAAAACAACACAGGUAUUAUUUUUUACUCAUCAGAUUGGCACAAAUUUAAAAACUGAUGGUAUCCACUGUUGGAGAGGAGGUGGGAAUCUCACACUCACCCAUGUGAGUGGUCACUUUGGGUGACCAUGUCCAGGUUCAGCGUUCUAGGAGGGCAACUUAGCAGUAUCUGUAACAAUUCAAAUGUACACGCCCUUUGAUUCAGCAGUUUCACUUCUAGGACUUUAUCCUACAGAGAUGUGCUCACGUUCUCAUGUGUCCACAAAGGAUGUUUUGUACAAGGCUGUUUAUUGCAGAAUUGUUUGUAUUACAAAACAAAAUGGCACAAUCAAUGGGGAGAUGGUUAUAUGAAUUACGGCUGAGCCAUAUUAUGAAAUGCCAUACAGCUGUUGAAAAAAGGAGCUAAAUUUACAUUCACUCCUUAGAUCGAUGGCUGUGAUAUAUUGUUAAUUAAAAAGAAGACAAGUCACAGAAGAGUGUGUUGACUAGGAUAUUAAAGAGAAAAUGACUGUUAACAGUGAUUGCUUCUAGAAGUAGAGAGGGGAGAGGGAUUGGAGCAGGCGUAACAGAACUUUCACACUUUAUAUAGUGGCAACAACAACCUGGGCUAGCAUCUACUGACGGCUCCCCAUACACCAGGCACUCUGCGGAGGGACGUGUCAUGUCUCAGUCCUCACGACAACCCUCCCAGUGCGGCUGUUUGAGCUGAAAGGGAGAAAAGGAGCAUGAGAAAACUCUUCUUCCACAUUACGUUCUGAUUUGGAGAUUCAAGCCUCAAAACAAUGGAAAAGCCGCUCAGGAAGAGACCUCAGUCUCCAGCCGGUAGAGGGAGCUCUGGGACACCGACCACGAUGCUUAGCCACCCCUGGCUACGGCAGAUUGUCCUCAGAACAGAAGACAAACCACCUCUGCCUCCUCCCCUACCCGUGAUCACUGAGGGCCUACCCACAACGGAAAAUUUUCUUUAGCACAUGUUAAAACCUUUAUUUCUUGGAAGAAUUUGAAGUGGCUUCUACCACACCAGCCAACAUCAGAAUUCCUGUAUUUGCAUCCAGAGCUGAGCUGUGUAGACCUAGAAUCUUCCCUCUAGAUCAACAGGUGUGCAAAGACAGGCGUAGGGCAUCCAUGCAGUUUUGCUUGUAGUCAUGAAAAACUGCAGACGCCUAAGUGCCCAUUGAUUAGGAGCGAGUUAUUUAAAUUACAGGAGUUCCUUACAAUGGGAUAUUUUUUGACAUCAUAUUUUUUUGUUAAACAGCUUUAUUGAGAUAUAAUUCACAGACCAUAAAAUUUAACGUACACAUUUCAGUAUUUCUUAGUAUAGUCACAAAGCUGUACACCAUCACCACAAUCUAAUUUCAGAUAAUUUUUAUUACCCUGGAAAGAAAUCCCAUACAUGAUGAGCUAUUUUGGAGCCAUUUUUUAAAAAUGAAAUAGUUCUCUAUGUAUUUAAAUAAAAAUACAUUCAUGACUGGCAAAAGGUGCAAAAAAGCACAUUGCAGAAAAUAUAUAAGAUAUCCCAUUUAUUUAUAAUAGUAUAUAUAUACACACACACAACAACACAUAUACACACAUGCACAUAUCAACACAUGUUAGUGUUUUUGUAUUUGUUCAUUCAUUCAUUUAUUUGUAUAUGCAUGGAGUGCUAUGUCUGGAGAAAAGGAUGGGGAAGUUUUAUUUUAAAUACUUUUUUAUAUACUCUU